rnacentral:rRNA from 1 species
UACGAAGGGGGCUAGCGUUGUUCGGAAUUACUGGGCGUAAAGCGUACGUAGGCGGAUUGUUAAGUGAGGGGUGAAAUCCCGAGGCUCAACCUCGGAACUGCCUUUCAUACUGGCAAUCUUGAGUCCGGGAGAGGUGAGUGGAACUCCUAGUGUAGAGGUGAAAUUCGUAGAUAUUAGGAAGAACACCAGUGGCGAAGGCGGCUCACUGGCCCGGAACUGACGCUGAGGUACGAAAGCGUGGGGAGCGAUCCGG